CAUGGUUGUAACGGGUAACGGAGAAUCAGGGUUCGAUACCGGAGAGGGAGCCUGAGAAACGGCUACCACAUCCAAGGAAGGCAGCAGGCACGCAAAUUACCCAAUCCCGGCUCGGGGAGGUAGUGACGAAAAAUAACAAUACGGGACUCAUCCGAGGCCCCGUAAUUGGAAUGACUACAAUUUAAAUCCUUUAAGAAGGAUCCAUUGGAGGGCAAGUCUGGUGCCAGCAGCCGCGGUAAUUCCAGCUCCAAUAGCGUAUAUUAAAGUUGCUGCAGUUAAAAAGCUCGUAGUUGGAUCUCAGUUACGGGCAGGUGGUUCACUUUACAGUGCUACUACCUGAACCGAACCUAUUGCUGGAUCUCUUGGGUGCCCUUCACUGGGUGCCCCUUGAGACCAGAGCGUUUACUUUGAGAAAAUUAGAGUGCUCAAAGCAGGCGAAUGCCUGAAUAGUUGUGCAUGGAAUAAUGAAAUAUGGCCUCGGUACUGUUUUGUUGGUUCACGGUGCUCGAGGUAAUGGUUGAAAGGGACUGACGGGGGCAUUCGUAUUGCGACGUUAGAGGUGAAAUUCUUAGAUCGUCGCAAGACGGACUACUGCGAAAGCAUUUGCCAAGAAUGUCUUCAUUAAUCAAGAACGAAAGUCAGAGGUUCGAAGGCGAUCAGAUACCGCCCUAGUUCUGACCUUAAACGAUGCUAACUGGCGAUCCAGUAGGGGUAUUUAAAAUGACCUGCUGGGCAGCUUCUGGGAAACCAAAGUUUUUGGGUUCCGGGGGAAGUAUGGUUGCAAAGCUGGAACUUAAAGGAAUUGACGGAAGGGCACCACCAGGAGUGGAGCCUGUGGCUUAAUUUGACUCAACACGGGAAACCUCACCAGGCCCAGACACUAGAAGGAUUGACAGAUUGAGAGCUCUUUCUUGAUUUGGUGGAUGGUGGUGCAUGGCCGUUCUUAGUUGGUGGAGUGAUUUGUCUGGUUAAUUCCGAUAACGAACGAGACUUUAGCCUACUAAAUAGAUGGCAGAUACUCAAAAGAGU
rnacentral:rRNA from 1 species